UCUACCCUUGCCGUUACACCCGUACACUACUUGGGGCAUUCAUUUUCUUUCAAUUUAAGCGUUUCUAACUUUGCAUUUUGGCAUAGUGCUGUGGUGUUAAAAAGCUUUGAUUACGGAGCUACUGUGAAUAGCACAAAUUUACGGUUGCGGGCCACUCUGGAGCAUUAAAGGCGGCUGCAAACGGCUUACUUCUGCUGUUGCGGACCUAACCGAGGUAGGCUAACCAGACCCUAAAGUGAUUGAUUUUUUUUAUGCAGCAGGAGCAGAUAGAUAGCUUCCUUCCAAUUGAGAUGGGUAUAGUGAGCAAGCAGCCGACAAAUUACUUCUGCAAGACUCUGACCGGAAGCGAUACGAGUACUCACGGGGGAUUCUUUGUUCCCCACCGUGCUGCUGAGAAGGUGUUUCCUCCCCUGGAUUUCACUCAGCAGCCCCCAGCGCAGGAGCUCAUUGCGCGUGAUCUUCAUGAUGUUGAAUCGAAGUUCGGCACAUCUUUCGAGGUAAGGAGAAGGUAGGGAAAUAGAUCCGUACCGUGGUUGAGGUAUUGGAAAGAAUGAAUGUUGAUGCACAUAAGGGAUUAGUGUAACAUCUUCAGGAAUCAGUGCUUGUAUAGCAUAUAGAUAAAUUGGUUAUAGAUGUUAAGAGUAGUGCUUACUUAGUUUGAUGCCCAUAGAUGUUAGAUAUGAUGGAUACAAAUGCCAAAUUAUGUAUUCAGGCAUGUAGCAUUUUUAUGGUUGGAAAGAAUUGAUUGCAUGUCUCAUGAUAUAGGUUGGGUUUGAAGGUAAUUAGAUAAGGCAUUUCUUUGAUUCAAUACAGUGAAAAAAGUUGAUGUUCUUGAAUAUAAGAGAGGCCCAAGAAAUUGACAAUAAUAUAACAGUAGAGUUGUAAAUAAGCAAGAUUAUCUAUUAAAAAAAUUUUGUUUAAUAAGGACUCUUCUUGAAUGGUUUAACAGAAUAUAUUCUGUGGCAUGAACAGUUAUAAGAGAGAUGUUGUUUCUCACCUUUGAUCGGGAUUAACUGCCAAAACUAUCUUCUUCUUUGAACCAUAGAAUGAGUAAUUUGGAUCAUCAAUUUGAGCAACCCGCCGACCUUAAUGUGAAUCCUGGGACAGAAUGCAUUGUUUAUGCCCUUAUCAAAUGUAUUUUUACAUGUACAUAUGAACGUGUGCAUGCACACAUGUAAAUUAUUUUUUUUUUGAGAGAUAGGUAGCACGCUACCCGCUUCGUUUAUUUCAUUUAGAAAUAAACUUAGCUGGAAAUGUGAAUCAACUAGGAUUCGAACUUGAGUCUCGGGUACCAACCACCAAGCCCUUUGCCACUUGCUCUAGAGAUGGUCGGUCACAUGUAAGUUGUUGUUUGGCGUUCCAACAUCCCUUUUCUUUUCAAAAUAGUAAAACUUCUAGCAGUGGUAAAGUUGGGUAAUUGGAGUAAACUGUUGCAUCCAGUUCUCCAGUGUUAUAUGAUUCUUCAUAAACAACAUACCCCAUGUAUCCAUCAUUGUUCCCCCUGAGGCUCAAGUGUCCUUAGCAGCCUGGAGCAUCAUAUUCUCAAGAGAAUAAAGAACUCGAGAGCAAUUCCCCGGUGUUUCUAAGAGGGGGUAGUGGAGAACGAGGCAUUCAGCCUUUUAAUUUUCUGCCUUUUGGUGUGAACCCCUAGGUUCAACAGAGGUCAGAACUAUCACCGGUGGAGAAUAAGCUUAAUUAAAUGCUAUGUUGUUACUCCAAUUUUAAACUAAAUGCCCACUUUCAAUGAGUGAUCCUCCAAUGUAAUUGAUAGCCCCUGCUAAGAUGAAUGCAUAGAAUGGUAGACAUAAAUUGAAAUAUGGUCUUCUCAUAUUUUGGUGAUGCUUUUACUGUCUA